AAUGAACGCUGGCGGCAGGCCUAACACAUGCAAGUCGAACGGGUCCUUCGGGACUAGUGGCGGACGGGUGAGUAACGCGUGGGAACGUGCCCUUGGUACGGAAUAGCCCGGGAAACUGGGAGUAAUACCGUAUGUGGUCGAGAGACGAAAGAUUUAUCGCCAAGGGAUCGGCCCGCGUUGGAUUAGGUAGUUGGUGGGGUAAUGGCCUACCAAGCCGACGAUCCAUAGCUGGUCUGAGAGGAUGAUCAGCCACACUGGGACUGAGACACGGCCCAGACUCCUACGGGAGGCAGCAGUGGGGAAUCUUAGACAAUGGGCGCAAGCCUGAUCUAGCCAUGCCGCGUGAGCGAUGAAGGCCUUAGGGUUGUAAAGCUCUUUCAGUGGGGAAGAUAAUGACUGUACCCACAGAAGAAGCCCCGGCUAACUCCGUG
rnacentral:rRNA from 1 species